GAAAGGUGGAAAGACUAUCUCCCAGUUGGACAGCGGAUGCCUGGGACUCGUUUCAUUGCUUUCAAAGUUCCUUUGCAAAAGAGUUUUGAAAAGAAACUUGCUCCAGAAGAAUGCUUUUCCCCUUUGGAUCUUUUUAACAAAAUCCGAGAACAAAAUGAAGAACUUGGACUGAUUAUUGAUUUAACAUAUACUCAACGCUAUUAUAAACCAGAGGAUUUGCCAGAAACUGUUCCUUACUUAAAAAUUUUUACAGUUGGACAUCAAGUGCCUGAUGAUGAGACUAUUUUUAAAUUCAAACACGCUGUUAAUGGGUUUUUGAAAGAAAAUAAAGAUAAUGAUAAACUUAUUGGUGUCCACUGUACCCAUGGUUUAAACAGGACUGGCUACCUCAUUUGCAGAUAUUUGAUUGAUGUAGAAGGCGUGAGGCCAGAUGAUGCAAUUGAAUUAUUCAAUAGGUGCCGGGGACAUUGCUUAGAAAGACAAAACUACAUUGAAGACCUUCAGAAUGGUCCUAUCAGAAAAAAAUUUUCAGAGAAUCCACAUGUUUACCAGAGACACCAUCUCCCUCCUCCUGGUCCCCCUGGAGAGGACUAUUCACACAGGAGGUAUUCUUGGAAUGUGAAGCCCAAUGCCAGUCGGGCAGCCCAGGAUAGAAGAAGGUGGUAUCCUUAUAAUUACUCCAGACUCUCCUAUCCAGCCUGUUGGGAAUGGACCCAGUGAUACAAACCUGUCCUGGAAUUCUACCUGGAGACCAGAGCUGGCCUGAAAAUUACUGGUGUGACUUUUA
rnacentral:lncRNA from 1 species